rnacentral:rRNA from 1 species
UACGUAGGGUGCGAGCGUUAAUCGGAAUUACUGGGCGUAAAGCGUGCGCAGGCGGUUCGUUGUGUCGGCGGUGAAAGCCCCGGGCUUAACCUGGGAAUGGCCGUUGAAACUGGCGAACUGGAGUGUGGCAGAGGGGGGUGGAAUUCCGCGUGUAGCAGUGAAAUGCGUAGAGAAUGCGGAGGAACACCGAUGGCGAAGGCAGCCCCCUGGGCUGACACUG